rnacentral:Y_RNA from 1 species
GGCUGGUCCGAAGGUAGUGAGUUAUCUCACGUGAUUGUUCACAGUCAGUUACAGAUUGAACUCCUUGUUCUACUACUUUCCCCCCUCCUCACUACUGCACUUGAUAGCCUUAA